rnacentral:tRNA from 1 species
GGUGGCUUAGUGGUAGAGUGCUUGCCUUGCAUGCAUGAGGCCCUGGGUUCGGUUCCUCAGCACCA